rnacentral:rRNA from 1 species
UACGGAGGGUGCAAGCGUUAUCCGGAUUCACUGGGUUUAAAGGGUGCGUAGGCGGGCAGGUAAGUCAGUGGUGAAAUCUCCAAGCUUAACUUGGAAACUGCCGUUGAUACUAUCUGUCUUGAAUACCGUGGAGGUGAGCGGAAUAUGUCAUGUAGCGGUGAAAUGCUUAGAUAUGACAUAGAACACCAAUUGCGAAGGCAGCUCGGUACACGAAUAUUGACGCUGAGGCACGAAAGAGUGGGGAGCAAACAGG